ensembl:lncRNA
AUGGAAAUGGAUGCAUUUAAUUUUCUUUGUGCCCACGUCAUCCGUUAUUGGCGCAGACAGAAAAUUGAUACAUUUGCUUCAGAAAACUUUGUUUGUGUGUGUGUAUAUGCCAACUCGAGUUUGCCUGUCCACCAACCGAGUUCAUUUGUAACGAGUAGUACUCGAGUAAUCGAUUCCUCACGCCCAUCCCUAGUUUAUGACCUUUAUCCAUCGCAGCGUUUUCGUUUAUCCAGCGCAGAGUUUACAUGCAUUACAGCGCAGUGUUUACAUCGAGUGCCUCCAACAUGGCCGCGCAUCCGGGUUACUGCCCAAGACGUGACGUCGGUGAAAACCCUCUAUUAUGACAAGGCUCAUAAUAGAGUUGUCAUGGUGGCGGCGCCGGUUAAGGCGAGCGAGCGACGGACUCCUCAACAACAUAGCAGUAUUUUACUUAUUUUAGUGUUUUUAUGCGUGAUUUUACCCUGUAAAGUUGCGGGCUGCAUUAUAUAUGACCGAGAGACACUGUUGAACAUAAGAGAUUCGGGAAUUAUUCACGGUCAACCGGAGUUUUUCUACUGGGAACCCCAGCUGGCAAACGUAAACAAAUGCCUAACAACGGCCCUACUACCGCGUCGGAGACGCCGGAGACGUGGGCGACGGGCUGGCCUGCUCGUCCGACUCAGACGGCGAGAAGGCAAAACACCUCUCCCCAGCAUUCUGCUAGCCAACGUGCAAUCCAUAGAAAACAAACUGGACGAGUUGAGAGCAAGGAUUACCUUCCAACAGGAAACAAGGGACUGCCAUAUCAUCUGUCUAACAGAGACGUGGCUGGGUGAAAAUAUCGCGGACUACGAAAUCUCUCCCAUGGGCUUCUCUGUACAUCGUGCGGACAGGUCAAGAGAACUUUCGGGGAAAAGUAAAGGCGGAGGUGUAUGCUUCAUGGUGAACAAAGCCUGGUGUAAACCGGUAAGUGUUCACUCACUCAAGUCAUUCUGCUCCCCGGACCUCGAAUACCUAGUCCUGCUCUGCCGCCCACACUGGCUUCCGAGAGACUUUACUGCUGUCAUAUGCAUAGCAGUUUAUAUUCCACCACAAGCUGACACAAACGUCGCACUCAAGGAACUGUACGUAACCAUCAGCAAAAUAGAAAACAGUCACCCAGAGGCCGCUCUAAUAGUGGUUGGAGACUUUAACCGAGCGUCGCUGAAGAAAGUUUUGCCAAAAUUCUAUCAACACAUAACUGUAAAUACGAGAGGCGGAAGAUGCUUGGAUCACGCCUACACUCAAUUCCGCAAUGCAUACAAACCCCUCCUCCGCCCCCCGUUCGGCAAAUCAGACCACUCUUCCAUUCUCCUUGUGCCCGCCUACAAGCACAGGCUGAAAACGUCUCCACCAAUCACGCGCACAUGUCGAUGCUGGUCUGACGAAUCAGACGCUAUCCUCCAGGACUGCUUUGAUUCCAUGACUGAGUUCGCGGAGAACAGUGGUGACGUCAACGAGAUCGCGGAAGGAGCGCUGGGUCUCAUUGGAAAGGUGAUAGAAGAAGUAGUGCCCACAAAAACAGUCCGUGUAUAUCCAAACAGGAAACCAUGGAUUAAUUUUGAUGUUAAUACAGCACUUACUAUUAGGAAAACAGCAUUCAGAACGGGAGAUACAACUGAAAUUAAAGCUGCCCGGUAUAACCUAAGAAAAGUGAUCAAAGCAGCAAAGAGGGAUUAUGGCAAAAAAAUAGAGGCACAGCUGAGCAGCAAUGACCCACGCAGAAUGUGGAAGGGACUACACACCAUCACUGAUUUCAAAGAGACCUCUAGCUGCACAGCUGAUACUUCUGUCUCUUUACCUGACGAGCUGAACAGUUUCUACGCCCGCUUUGAAGUGAGCCAAACCAGUCUCCUAGAGAGGACCUACUCAGAGGACGCAGAUAAUACAGCCAGCGCUCUUGUCAUCACAGAAGAGGAUGUACGUGUGGUGUUCAAACGCAUCAACAUCCGAAAAGCGGCCGGGUCAGAUGGGUUACCUGGCCGGGUGUUCAAAGUAUGUGCGGACCAGCUGGCUGGUGUAUUCACAAACAUUUUCAACCUCUCCCUCUCCACGGGCAUAGUGCCAGCCUGCUUCAAGUCAUCAGUAAUCAUUCCUGUACAAAAGAAGAGCAAGGUAACAUGCCCAAACGACUGGCGCCCUGUUGCUCUCACCCCCAUAGUGAGCAAAUGCUUUGAAAAGCUCAUCAAGGUGCUGAUCUGCAGAAUGCUGCCACCAGCCCUGGACCCCCACCAAUUUGCCUAUCGGAAGAACAGAUUGACAGAUGACGCCAUUGCCACAGCACUCCACUUAGCCCUCGCCCACCUUGACAAG